AUUUUUUUAUUCUGUUAAUGCAGUUAAGUACAACAUUGGUGCAGUUAUCUUGCUCUGGGCACCUGUAGUCUUGAUUGCAUUGUGGAAUAUACAUCCAUUAUUCAAAGAAAGGGCGACAUUCCAAGCACUCACACUUUCUCUCCUUGCUAGAUAAAUUGGUUAACAAGCUAAAGAAGUCAGUGGAGGAUGAAAUUCAUUUUUUCAAGGGAAGGGUUUUAGAACUUGAAAGUGAUCUUGUGUCGAAGUCCACAGAAGUUACAUCUACAGUUUCAAGGAAAAAAGAAGCUCUAUCUUCUGUAUUUGUUGAAAUUGACCAUCUGAAGGAAGAAAAUUUUGUAAAAACGUGAGCAUUAUUGAAUGCAUAUGGAGGGUGUUUACUGUGUUGGAGUGUAUUUGUUUCUUGCACAUGAGGGCACGCCUUAGUUGUAAUUCUUAUGAUAGGUUGAGCAAAGUGAAGUAUUGUUUAUUUAGAAAUGUGAAUGUAGGAUGCAUUGUAUGAUUUGAUUGCUAUUUGUAAUAAAUGCAUCAUUUUUUUUUCUGAUUGCA